rnacentral:rRNA from 1 species
ACGCUGGCGGCGUGCCUAACACAUGCAAGUCGAGCGGUAACAGGUGUAGCAAUACAUGCUGACGAGCGGCGAACGGGUGAGUAAUGCUUCGGAAUCUACCCUAUGGUGGGGAAUAACCAGCCGAAAGGUUGGCUAAUACCGCAUACGUCCUACGGGAGAAAGCAGGGGAUCGUAAGACCUUGCGCCGAUGGAUGAGCCGAAGUCGGAUUAUCUAGUUGGUGAGGUAACGGCUCACCAAGGCGACGAUCCGUAGCUGGUCUGAGAGGACGACCAGCCACACUGGGACUGAGACACGGCCCAGACUCCUACGGGAGGCAGCAGUGGGGAAUAUUGGACAAUGGGGGCAACCCUGAUCCAGCGACGCCGCGUGUGUGAAGAAGGCCUGCGGGUUGUAAAGCACUUUUAGUGGGGAUGAAAUGUGCAGGGCUAAUACCUCUGCAUUUUGACCUAACCCACAGAAAAAGCACCGGCUAACUCUGUGCCAGCAGCCGCGGUAAUACAGAGGGUGCAAGCGUUAAUCGGAAUUACUGGGCGUAAAGCGUGCGCAGACGGUUGCGUAAGUCAGAUGUGAAAGCCCCGGGCUCAACCUGGGAAU